GGCCGCGGUAUUCUGACCGUGCAAAGGUAGCGCAAUCACUUGUCUUUUAAAUGAAGACCUGUAUGAAUGGCAUAACGAGGGCUUGACUGUCUCCUCUUUCUGGUCGAUGAAAUUGAUCUUUCCGUGCAGAAGCGGGAAUGUCAACAUAAGACGAGAAGACCCUGUGGAGCUUUAGACUCAAAACAGCCCCCGUAAAAAAGCCUGAUUAACGGCCUAUAACCCUGUUUUACUGUCUUUGGUUGGGGCGACCGCGGAGAACUAUUUAACCUCCAUGUGGACCGAACUAGUCUUUCAUAACUUAGAGUGACAACUCCAAGUAACAGAAUUUCUGACCAAAAAUGAUCCGGUAAAACCGAUCAACGAACCGAGUUACCCCAGGGAUAACAGCGCAAUCCUCUUUUAGAGCCCAUAUCGACAAG
rnacentral:rRNA from 1 species